UGGUAAGCUAUCAUCAAGCCUUCUUCAUUCUCUCAUCAUCAAGUAAUGAAUUCUAUUCCAAUCAAUCUCUUCCCUAAAACUAAAAACUCUAAAACCCUCAUUCUCCAAACCUUCCAAAUAAUGAAUAAUACGUUUAAUCCCAUUCUUGAAUUUAGUAAUCCUCAAUGUUAUCAAAUCCUUAUCUGCUUCAAUACCCUUUUUUGCUUCAACAGCUCCUCAUAAACUCCAAUCCUGUUCGUUUUUCUCAACAAACUAAAAGUUCAAUCAAUCUCACCCCUAAUAGAACUCAACGUUUUAUUUAUUUAUUGCACUAAAACCCCAUCAGGUAACCCCUUCAAAUAUUUCAGAAAAACAUCCUUUAACCUGUCAUUCAACUCUUCUUUAUCAGAUGCUACCUCAAUGUUUUCUUUAACCCACGUAGUAUACUCAAUAACAAGUGUUAAAAAAAAUAUUGAGGUGUCGUCUGAUAAAGAAGAGUUGAAUGGUAGGUUAAAGGAUGUUUUUCUGAAAUAUUUGAAUGGGUUAUUUGAUGGAUUUUAGUGCAAAAAAGAAAUAAAAAGUUGAGUUCUGUAAUGGGUGAGAUUGAUUGAACUUUUAGUUUGUUGAAAAAAACGAAUAGGGUUGGAGUUUAUGAGGAGCUGUUGAAGCAAAAAAGGGUAUUGAAGCAGAGAAGGAUUUGAUAACAUUGAGGAUUACUAAAUUCAAGAAUAGGAUUAAACAUAUUAUUAAUUUUUUGGAAGGUUUGGAGAAUGAGGGUUUUAGAGUUUUUAGUUUUAUGGAAGAGAUUGAUUGGAAUAGAAUUCAUUAUUUGAUGAUGAGAGAAUGGAGAAGGCUUGAUGAUGGCUUACCAAUUUAUGCUUUCAAGCAGAUGAUUAUUAAACAAAUUCAUUGCCAACAGGUAACUAUCAGUUACUACAUUUUUUUAGUCUGAGGUUCACAUAAAAUUCAAUUGAAACUAAAGGAAGCCGCAAAACUUUAUCAACUGGACUUGUCUAUAGAGACACUUCCCUCUGUUGUGUAAUAGUUUGGGUCUUUCUAUCUACAGUUAGAGGAUUUUGAAUUUUCAAUGAUGUUUCCUACAUCGACAGAUUCUUAUCAGUGGAUGUCAUCCCUAGGAAAAGACUUCAACUUUUGGGUGUUUCUUCAAUGCCCAUUGCUGUUAUGAGGAAAUUAAGCCUCCACAUGUUAAGGAUUUUCGUUACAUUACAACCAAUACAUAUACAAAGAUGGAGGCUAGUGUGUUACAAUCCCUCACAUUUGAAAUGGGUAAUCCCACAACCAAAACAUUUCUCAGAAGAUUUACUAGGGUUGCUCAAGGAGAUUACAAAAACGCUGAUUUACAGUUAGAGUUUCUGGGCUACUACCUAGCAGAAUUAAGUUUAUCGGAUCACCACUGUGAAAUUCUUGCCUUCUUUGGUAGCUGCCGCUGUGAGAUUCCUGUCAAGGUUCACUUUACAGCUAAAGUCACAUCCUUGGGUAAGGAUUUUGAUUCAAUAUUUACUAUGUAUGUUUCAUUGACAUAUAGAAGCCCUAGAUUAACUUUAUUCAUGUUACAGAGUCUGGCUCUUAAACUUGCUCAGGAUAUAGAGCAGCUGAUCUAGGAUUGUAUUCUUAUCAUACAUGACUUGCAAUUAAAUAGAAGAGGAAGCACUUUGGUUGUUGUGAGGGAAAAAUACAAGCAGCAUAAGUUCAAAUGUGUGUCAACAUUUUCUUCUCCUCUGGAAAUACCGGAUUGCUUCUUUGAAGAUACACGCUAAUGAUUACUUGGAUAUAUGCUUAGAAAUUGGAAUGGGACACUACGAUAAUACCUGGAAGAGGUGAACUGCCUUUUUGGUGCUAGCUCAUGCUGCUCUGAGGACAUCAUUCUAGUAGAUUUGGUAUACUCCUCAAGAUGUAUGAAAGUUAUAACAGGUGGCUUGUAAGAUAAUCUUGAAUUUUUGUACCUUGGUUUAAGAGCCAUGGAUAGCAAAAAUAAUGAUUCUUCUACAUGGUAGUAUUGAGUGAUGCUUGAAACUUAGUACAAAUACAUUAUUCUUGUAAUAAGCUGGAAACAACUACAGAAUGCUACUAAUAAAAGUUUUGAAUGUUAGUAUUGCCUUCA